rnacentral:rRNA from 1 species
UACGAAGGGGGCUAGCGUUGUUCGGAAUUACUGGGCGUAAAGGGCGCGUAGGCGGUCCUGAUCGUCGGAUGUGAAAGGCCUGGGCUCAACCUGGGAAUGGCAUCCGAUACGGCGGGACUGGAGUGUGGGAGAGGUUGGUGGAAUUCCCAGUGUAGAGGUGAAAUUCGUAGAUAUUGGGAAGAACACCGGUGGCGAAGGCGGCCAACUGGACCACAACUGACGCUGGGGCGCGAAAGCGUGGGGAGCAAACAGG